UUUUUUAGGCUUCCACCUUAAAGCUCAGAUGUGACCUAAGAUUUCUGAUGAGACAAAGCCAGUUUUGAAAGCUACAGUUCAAGGUCACAGUGGUGUGAACUAUCCAGUGGCUGGUUUAAGGAUGUCAUACUAUACCCUGCUAUAGUGUGUGUUACGUUCAAGUGCAACAGUACUGUCAGCUGCUUCCUUGGUAAAUCCUAUAUUUUCUUUGCAUAUUAGAGGCGACACCAACAGAACCAACUUAACAACAGAACCGCUUCAGACAUAUAUGAGAACUCUGUUCCGUCUAUACCAGAAAUGAAGCUGUAGUAAAAGAAAACCCUCACCAUCGCUGUCCUCAGUCAUAUUCGAAGAUGCAAAAAACAAUAUCAAGUUACAAAAUGCAAGAGUAUACUAUUCAAAGAAUUCACUGUCUGAUGGUGUUUGAUUGUAUUGGUCUGAAGCAGCAGAUCACUGCAGUAAUAGUUCAGUUACAGUUACAGUUACAGCUAAACCUGGUGCAAACCUCUGGCUUGAACUGGACUUCAUAGUAUCAGUGUCCAAUCCAGAAGCAAUUCAUUUUAUGUUCCUUUUUCUUUGCUGUCAUUCCUUUGUCACUGUUAGAAAAGACACUGCUGCCCUGCUCAACAGUUCACGGGUUUAUUUUUGCCUUUUCAGUGCAAUUCCUGCUUAUUAAUGUAGAAUCCAUCAGCAGGACUAUAAAUUUAGCAGAAACAUGUAAAAAAAGUGUACGGUGCUACUCAUGCAACACCAACAGACAUUAUGAUAGAAACUAAAUAAUAACCAAUUAACCUGAUAUUUUUCAUCACAAGCAGGUGGAGACAAAAACAGAGUUGAAAAUAAAGUGGCAGUGUUGGAGUGAGUGUGUAAACAUGUGUCUUAUACUCUAAUAUGUAUUCCAAAAAA